UACGGAGGAUCCUAGUGUUAUCCGGAUUUAUUGGGUUUAAAGGGAGCGUAGGCGGGAGGUCAAGUCAGCUGUGAAAUGUAUCUGCUUAACGGGUACACUGCAGUUGAAACUGGUUUUCUUGAGUGCGUAAGAGGCAGGCGGAAUUCGUUGUGUAGCGGUGAAAUGCUUAGAUAUGACGAGGAACUCCUAUUGCGAAGGCAGCUUGCUGGGUCGUUACUGACGCUGAUGCUCGAAGGUGCGGGGAUCAAACAGGAUUAGA
rnacentral:rRNA from 1 species